GCCUGAACCUGGGAGGCAGAGGUUGCAGUGAGACGAGGUUGCACCACUGCAUUCCAGCCUGGGCGACAGAGCAAGACUCCAUCUCAAAAAAAAAAAGAAAAAAGAAAAAAGAAAGGCCCUGUCACUGCUCUCAUGGAGCCAGGGGUGGGGGACAGGGGUGAGGGGUGUAAUUCAAGUUAUGACAGAAAUGCACAUGGAGUCACAACCUGUGAUGAAGCCGCAGGGACUCUGAAGACACCACAGUGUGAGCUGGCGGCGUUUGGUUGGCAAUGGGGCAGGGGGCUGGGGCCGGAGGGAGAGCCCCAGGGUGGGAGAAUGGCUUGUGCAGAUGCUGUGCAUAAAAAACAAGGACUUGUAAAAAAGAAAAUUUAGGCCUGGUGCGGUGGCUCACGCCUGUAAUCCCAGCCCUUUGGGAGGCCGAGGCGGGGUAUCACCUGAGGUUGGGAGUUUGAGACCAGCCUGACCAACGUGGAGAAAACCCACCUCUACUAAAAAUACAAAAUCAGCCGGGUGUGGUGGCGCAUUCCUGUAAUCCCAGCUACUCGGGAGGCUGAGGGCAGGAGAAUAGCUUGAACCAGGAGGCAGAGGUUGCAGUGAGCCAAGAUUGCGCCAUUGCACUCCAGCCUGGGCAACGAGGGCAAAACUCCGCCUCAAAGAAAAAAAAAAGAAAGAAAGAAAAGGAAAAAUUAGCUGGGCGUAGCGGCGUGUGUCUGCAGUUCCAGCUACUUGGGAGGCUGAGGCAGGAGGAUCGCUUGAGCCCAGGAGUUCCAGGCUGCAGUGAGCUAUGAUUGCUUCACUGCACUCCAGUUUGGGUGACAAAGUGAAACCCCAUCUAUAAAACAACAACAACAAAACAACAAAAAUAAGGACCCGAUGCAGGAGCCCCAAGAAGCCAGCCUGCUGAGGGGAGGGGUGGGAAAGGCAGGGAGGGGAGUUUCAUGACUGAGAUGGGGUCUGACCCGGGACAGAUCGUUAGGCUCGUCGCUAGCAUCAUGAUCAUCACUACGGUCUUCUUAUCACCAAAGCUACACCUCUCCAGUAUAGAAAAAGAAAAGCAGAUAGGCAAAAAGAAGGAAAAGAGUCUGGGCACAGUGGCUUAUGCCUGUAAUCCCAGCACUUUGGGAGGCCGAGGGAGGCGGAUCACUUAAAGUCAGGAGUUCGAGACCAGCCUGGGCAUCAGGGCAAAACCACCUCUCUACUAAAAUUACAAAAAUUAGCUGGGUGUGGUGGCACAUGCCUGUAAUCCCAGCUACUCAGGAGGCUGAGGCAGGAGAAUCGCUUGAACCUGGGAGGCAGAGGUUGCAGUGAGCCGAGAUCGCACCGCUGUACUCCAGCCUGAGCGACAGAGCAAGACUCCGUCUCAAAAAAAAAAAAAAAAAAGAAAAAAAGAAAGAAAAACCUCAUGCUUCCACCCACAAUCCUGCCUCACUCAGAUUUCUGGUGUGUGCCCCUCCAGACCUUUCCUAUUGAUUUAGGCCUUGAAGGACAAGGAGGAGCUCACCAGAGACGGAAGGUGCUUGGGCCUGAGGAGCAGCCUGGAGGAAGGUGAGCGGCGGAGUGAGCUCCAUGCAGAGGAUCCUGCUAGGAAUCCCGCUCCUCCACGCCGUAUUGGCAACCUGAAGGCGGGAGUGAGUCAGCAUCCCUCAGUAACAGAGUGAGUGGGAGCGGGGAAGGAGCCAUGCAGAUUCCAGACGCACCUCAGGUCCUGGCUGGGGUCAGCCCAUCUGACUUGGGCGAAGGUCUACACAUCUCUGCUUCCUCGCUGUGAUCUCCCAGAUAACCGCCCGUGAAGAAGUCUGUGCCCUCGGCCCUAAGCUGUGAACCUGCUGCCUUCCAUGGCAAAAGGGACUGUGGAGGUGUGAGUCAGUUCAUGACCUUGACUGGGGAGGUGAUCCUGGGUUACUUAGGUGGCCCAGCGGAAUGGCAUGAACCCCAGAAGAGGAGGACAAAGGCAGAAGAGCCCGUCUGAGAGAAGUGACGGCAGAGGAGGAGGCAGGGAGGUGCCGUGUGCUCAUCAGCCAUCAUCGGCUUUGCAAGCUGGUAGGGGGCUGCCCGUAGACGCUGAGACUGGUCCCCACUGACCCCAGCAAGGUGACAACACCUCAGUCCCAUACUGCAAGGAUCUGCAUUCUGCAGACAAUGCAAAUGAGCACAGAAAAGGGAUUCUCCACUGGCCCCCAUUACGGAACUGCAGGGUUAUACAUUGUGCCGUUGUCAGCCUCUAACUUUGUAGAAGUUUGUGAUGGCAGCAAAGAAAACAAAUGGACUCUGCGAACUCCCUUUCCCUGGGGAGGAGGGGCUGGUCCUCAUCCGGUCCUGGGGUGGCCCCGGGCCCCGCUCUCCUGAAUGGAUGUGCAAGGCCAUUUCUCUGUGGUCUCUGUCUGGAACGUGGGCGCAGACGGGAGCUUGGGAAGUCCAAGCUUACUUGGCUUUGUGCCCAAACCAAGCUCUGGAUAUGAGUGCACUUGUUUAAAAAAAAAAAAAAAAAAAAAGGCAAGCACUGACCCACUUUUUCCUGACUGCUCUGGCUCAGACACUUCCCUCUAAAAGGACAUUUAUUUCAAGAACACGCUGUUCCCAGGGCUGACAUCCCCCACCUCCACUGGAAGCAGAAGCACUAACAAGAGACUGCAAGAUCUGGCGUCCGGUAUCUGAUAAUGGAGCAAAUGUUCCACCGAAAGCUGGGCCUGAUGGCUGCAUCCGCCUGGCGCUGGAGGGGCUGGGAGUUUGGCCUGAGCAAACUCAGUUGCUUAAAACAACACAAAUUUAUUUAUUUUUUUAAUUUUAUCUUUUUAAGUCCCAGGCUACAUACGCAGGCUGUGCAGGUUUGUUGCAUAGGUAAAUGUGUGUCACGGUGGUUUGCUGCACCUAUCAACCCAUCAUCUAGGUUUAAGCACAGCAUGCCUUAGCUGUUUUUUCUAAUGUUCUGCCCCCACCCCCCACCAGGACCCCAGUGUGUGUGGUUCUCCUCCCUGAGCCCACGUGUUCUCGUUGUUCAGCUCCCACUUAUAAGUGAGAACAUGCAGUGUUUAGUUUUCUGUUCCUGUGUUAGUUUGCUGAGGAUAAUGGCUUCUAGCUCCAUCCAUGUCCCUGAAAAGACAUGAUCUUGUUCCUUUUUCUUUUUUUUGAGACAGUUUCCCUCUCGUUGCCCAGGCUGGAGUGCAAUGGCCCGAUCUCAGCUCACUGCCUCCCAGGUUCAAGCGAUUCUCCUGCCUCAGUCUCCUGUGUAGCUGGGAUAACAGGCAUGCACCACCACACCCAGCUAAUUUUGUAUUUUUAGUAGAGGUGGAGUUUCACCGUGUUAAUCGGGCUGGUCCCGAACUCCUGAUCUCAGGUGAUCCACCCACCUCUGCCUCCUGAAGUGCUGGGAUUAUAGGCAUGAGCCACCACGCUUGGCCUUAUUCCUUUUUAUGGCUGCAUAUUAUUCCACAGUGUAUGAUAUGGUUUGACUCUGUGUCCCCACCCAAACCUCAUCUAGAAUUGUACUCCCAUAAUUCCCACAUGUUGUAGGAGGAAACUGGUGGGAGAGAAUUUGAAUCAUGGGUGCGGUUC
rnacentral:lncRNA from 1 species